CGUUGGUACCUCCGCGACGGUCAGCCGUAAACUCCGCCAGGCCCGGAAGGGAGCAACGGUAGCGGUGAAGCCGGGUGCCGGGGGAGCACUGACGUGG
rnacentral:SRP_RNA from 1 species